UACGUAGGAGACGAGCGUUGUCCGGAAUUAUUGGGCGUAAAGAGCUCGUAGGCGGCUUGUCGCGUCGGCUGUGAAAACCUGGGGCUCAACUCCGGGCUUGCAGCCGAUACGGGCUGGCUAGAAUUCGGUAGGGGAGACUGGAAUUCCUGGUGUAGCGGUGAAAUGCGCAGAUAUCAGGAGGAACACCGGUGGCGAAGGCGGGUCUCUGGGCCGAUACUGACGCUGAGGAGCGAAAGCGUGGGGAGCGAACAGG
rnacentral:rRNA from 1 species